rnacentral:lncRNA from 1 species
GCUGAAGGCACUGGAAUAGCACUGAGAGCCCUAGAUGCUGUUACUGGACACAACUGUGGAGCCAGAAGAUUGCUGGAUGCUGUUGGUAGAGUUGCAUGUGGAGCCAGGAGGUUGCUAGAUGCUGUUGAUGAAGUUGCAUGUGGAGCCAGGAGGUUGCUAGAUGCUGUUGAUGAAGUUGCAUGUGGAGCCAGGAGGUUGCUAGAUGUUGUUGAUAGAGUUGCAUGUGGAGCCAGGAGACUAUUGGAUGGUGUUGAUAGAGUUGCUUGUGGAGCCAGGAGGUUGCUAGAUGCUGUUGAUGAAGUUGCAUGUGGAGCCAGGAGGUUGCUAGAUGUUGUUGAUAGAGUUGCAUGUGGAGCCAGGAGGUUGCUAGAUGUUGUUGAUAGAGUUGCAUGUGGAGCCAGGAGGAUGCUAUAUGUUGUUGAUGAAGUUGCAUGUGGAGCCAGGAGAUUGCUGGAUGUUGUUGGGGGGGUUGCAUUUGGAUUCAGGAUACUCAUGGAUGCUGUUGGGGAAGACACCUGAGGUGCUUGGACUUUCAUGGAUGCUUUUACUUCAGGGAGGGAAAAGGCCUUCCCAGUACCGGAUGCUGCCCCUUGUGUCAACUGAGUGGUGCACUUAUUUCUGGACACUGUUGAUGAAGGAGCACGAUGAGCCUGGACACAAAUGGAUUCUCUUUCUGGAUGAAUUUGAGUACUCUGGGCUCUGCUUGUGGCUUUUGACAAAGGUACCAGAAGAGAUGUAGAACUGCUGGGUGUUGCUGAUGGAGGUGCCACAGAAGCCUGGAAAUAAUUGGGUUCUGUUGGUAAAGAUACUUGAGAGGCCUGGACAUUCUUGGAUGCUUUUACUGUAGCAGAGUUAAGAAUCUGAAUGCUACUGGAUCUUGUUGUUUGAAGUAUCUGUUUGACAGAGGUGCUUCUGGACACAGUUGCUAGAGUAUGAGAAACCUGAACACUGCUGGAUGAUGUUGCUGAAGAAGGCAUCUUUAGGAGCUGGGCUUUGCUUGUCAGUGUUGUUGGAGGCAUUUUAGUAGUUUGGAGAUUUUUGGAUGCUAUUGCUUGAUUGUGAGGAUCCUCUGUGCUACUGAAUGCUUCUUGUGUAGGAAGGUGAAGGUCCUGGAUACUGCUGGGUACCUUUAUUAAAGACAUGUGAGGAGCAAUGGAAGAGCAGGACACUGUUUUUGAAGGCAUAAGAGGAACCCUGACAUUACUGAAUCCUGUUGCUGAUGGUACAUAAGGAACCUGGGCACCACUGGACUGGAUGGAAUGUGCAUUAGAGUUCAGAUGAACAUUUGAGUCUGACGUUAGAGACACUGAAAGAUUAUGGCAAGGUGAUCUUGAAGAGCUUGGAGACAUCUUUAAAUCCAAGUGAGCUUCUAGAGGCUUCUGAGAAGACUGAAGUCUGCUAGAAGGAAUUGCUGAAAGUCCUUCAAAGGUCGGGAGUUCACUUACAGCUGGGAAGUUGCUGGAUGAUGAAAAUUCUACAAGUUGAUGAAUUUCCUGAGGACCCCUUGUCUUUAUGAUACCAUGUUUUGGGAUGGUUGUGUUUUUC